UUCGUUCAACCUAGAAAUAGGUCGGAAGUAGGGUAAUACCGAAGGAACGCGCC
ncrna:unclassified sequences Glutamine riboswitch